GACAGAGGAUGCAAGCGUUAUCCGGAAUGAUUGGGCGUAAAGCGUCUGUAGGUGGCUUUUUAAGUCUGCCGUCAAAUCCCAGGGCUUAACCCUGGACAGGCGGUGGAAACUACCAAGCUGGAGUACGGUAGGGGCAGAGGGAAUUUCCGGUGGAGCGGUGAAAUGCGUAGAGAUCGGAAGGAACACCAGUGGCGAAGGCGGCUACCUGGAUUGAUACUGACACUGAGGCGCGAGAGCGUGGGGAGCAAACAGG
rnacentral:rRNA from 1 species